GGGGACGACCGUGGGAAACUACAGCUAAUACGGCCGAUGCCAAAGGGCCAAAGCUUGAGAGAGCGUCUGAAGAGGAGCCUGCGUCUGAUUAGCUAGUUAGUGGGGUAAAGGCCUACCAAGGCUUCGAUCAGUAGCUGGUCUGAGAGGAUGAUCAGCCACAUUGGGACUGAGACACGGCCCAAACUCCUACGGGAGGCAGCAGUGGGGAAUAUUGGACAAUGGGCGCAAGCCUGAUCCAGCAAUGCCGCGUGGGUGAAGAAGGUUUUCGGAUUGUAAAGCCCUUUUGGCGGGGACGAUGAUGACGGUACCCGCAGAAUAAGCUCCGGCUAACUUCGUGCCAGCAGCCGCGGUAAUACGAAGGGGGCUAGCGUUGCUCGGAAUGACUGGGCGUAAAGGGCGCGUAGGCGGACUGCACAGUCAGGCGUGAAAUUCCUGGGCUUAACCUGGGGACUGCGUCUGAGACGUGUAGUCUAGAGUGAGGAAGAGGGUCGUGGAAUUUCCAGUGUAGAGGUGAAAUUCGUAGAUAUUGGAAAGAACACCGGUGGCGAAGGCGGCGACCUGGUCCUUGACUGACGCUGAGGCGCGAAAGCGUGGGGAGCAAACAGGAUUAGAUACCCUGGUAGUCCACGCUGUAAACGAUGUGUGCUUGAU
rnacentral:rRNA from 1 species